GCCUCCCCCCCCGGGCGCCGCCCCCCUCGCCGCCGCCCCCCCGCUCUCGGGGGGCAGGGCCCCCCGCCCCUGCCACACCGACUGGGUGUAGAAGUCCACCGUGUGCGCGCUGGAAAUGCGCAGGGCGCCCCUCAGGAAGCCCAGCAAGUCCUGCAACUUGCCGUGCAGUGUGGGCAGGUCCGGGGUCCUGGGGAGAGAGCAAAGCGCUGCCAUGACGCUCGCUCGCCCUCCAGGGCUGCAGGUGGCGCCAACAUGGCCGCGCGGCACCUCUCUUCCUGAAGCCGGACAGGCGGAAGCAGACGAGCUCCGAGAGUGCGCUACAUGGGUGGUUGGUUGCUUCGGCCUGGUGACGUAUUAUGUCAGCGUCGGCCGUAGUUCUCCCGACCCUAGUGGGGCAAGAUGGCGCCGGUGAUGCCGUCUUCGAAGUGGCGGACCGGAGGACGCCUCAGGUCGCAUCCAAGUACCAAAGUCGGAAACGCAGGCCCUGGCGGCCUAGCCACCAGCAAGCCUUCCCCGGAAGCGUUUGAGAGGGACAAGGUUUUGCAUUUUGGAGGAAACUGAAGAUCUAGCAAGAUUACAAGAAAUUGCUAUGGAAGGUAAAGAAGGAACCAAUGUCCCAGGAAUCCCAGUUCAUCGAUUAUUACCCAGACCAUCUGAAACACCUCUAUUUAGCUGAAGAAGAAAGACUCAAGAAACAGCGGAGAAAGGUUGGUCUGCCUCCCUCAGAAGAACAAGUUGACCAGCCUGUGCCUGAAGAAGAGUGUAACACUGAACAGACUUUGUGUGAAGAACAGUCUAGUGAUCAUCAGUCUCAGCCAGAGGAGCUGUGUACACCAAAUUCUGUCACUAUUCCAAAAAAAAAGAAAACUUCAAACCAAAAGGCACAAGAAGAGUAUGAAUGGAUACAAGCAAAGCGUGGUGCUAAGAAAUUUGAAUUUGAAAUGAGAAAGUGAGAACGAGAAGAGGCUCAGAGGCUCUACAAGAAGAAGAAGAAGAUGGAAGCUUUCAAAGUCCUGAGCAAAAAGACUAAAAAGGGCCAGCCAAACCUGAAUCUGCAGAUAGAAUAUCUUCUCCAGAAGAUACAAGAAACCAGUUAAACUAGACAUUAAAUGCCUAUGGACUGGUGGACUGGUGCAUCCAUUUGUGUGUUGGGAGCGCCAGUGAAAUAAAUUUGCUGACGUCAAUGGAUUGGUGAAUUACUUUUUUGUUUUUGUAAUAAAAAAAAAAAUGCUAUAUGUAUUUUUUUCCACAAAGAAUGACUUAACCUGAAAGAACUUUAAAAACUUUCCAUGGAAGUUGUAUGAAAUAAAAACUGUUUUGAAAUAGGAGGCCUGAGCUCACAGGUGAAGCAUUUCAGUGAUGGGAACACGUUUCAGUGCAACAAGCAGCCACAGCACUGGGGCUUGCUUACUGGGAAUUAGGUCCUUGCGUUUCAGUGCAACAAGCAGCCAUAGCACUGGGGGCUUGCUUGCUUACUGGGAACUGGUCCUUGUGUUUCAGUGCAGCAAGCAGCCACAGCACUGGGGCUUGCUUACUGGGAAUUAGGUCCUUGCACUUGUUUGGCAGUUGUAUUACCACUAAAGUACAUUGUAUCCCUGGGAGUUUUGUGAUAGGGUUUCCGUGCUGCUUCCAAGUCUCAUGCUGGUCUCAAACUUGUGAUCAUCUUACCUCUGCCACCAGGGCACGACCGUGCCUAAUAGAUUGUAUAGUGUUUAAAUUAAAUUCAUUUUAUUGAUAAAGGAAAGAAUGACUCUCCUUGGAGUUUUUAUUUAUCAAUUUUUAGUACAGGAAAGUGGAUUUUCUAGGCUACCUGAAAGUAGGAUACCUGGGCACUAAGUUUGCAACCCCAUAAUAAACCUAAUAAGUAUUAUUUAUGAAUUGAAUUUCAUAGAAACAUUUUGUUAGAUGAAAUUACUUUUGAUAUCUAAAUGAUGGGAGAAGCCCAGUAUUUUCUCAUUGUUAAGCUCCCCACAACCUUGGGAGGGACCCUUUACUUUGAAGAGUAUUCUCAGCACUUCAUAUUGUUGGUACCUUUUAGCUGAGAAACUUUCUGCCUUCAGUUGCAACAGAACAAGAAAGCAUUGACAUUGUAAGCAAAAAAGAUUGCACAAUAAUGAUUCUAAAACAUUCUAACAUUGUGUUAACUUUUUAGAGAAGCUUUGCCUGCUGCAGCCUUCCCCCGGGUUAAAAGUGCAAUGAUGGCUACUUAGAAAAUACUAAACUUACUCUUUGCAUAGAAGAAUAAUGCUUAGAAGUUUGUGAUACCAAGAUGCUUACGGGUGUGCUUUACGGACAAGUUUGUAAUACCAAGAUGCUAUUGCACUUAAACAGCCCAGAAAGCCAAAAUCUGAUGAAGGAAGUGUGCACAGUGAACAAUUUCACUGAUUUCCUUUCCUCACAUCUGUAUUCUAGAUUCUUCAUCCUGACAACACAUGGAGAACUGGUCCUUUUAAGUGCAUUGUACAACACUGUUAAGGAGAGGUCUACCUUGAGGGCUUGUUUUGUUGUAGUUCUGUUGUUUGCUUGCUUUUGUUUGCAUCCAAGGAUGUUGUAGGGCAGAAAGUAGUUAACACCGUGUUCAAAACAAAAACUUUCAGACUUCAGUGUGGUAUAAAAAUCACACAGCUCAUCUGAAAGCUCUACCCUCAUGUUGUUGGUUGUUUUUACUGUUAGCUGUUUUUUUUUUGGGGGGGGGGCGCUACCUAGCUCCCAAAUAAGUCAUACAGAGGCUUAUUAUUUCUUAUUGAAGAGACCAGCUGCCCCUUUUGGCAGCCAUGACAGUAACACAUGCUUGCCAUGACCUUGCCUUGGUCACUAAGAGGUCAGAUGCCUGCCUUGUGGCAAGGAACCAAUCAGAAGUUAGCUGGUGGGGCUAUGCUUUAUGGCUCUGGGUGUGCUUUACGGACAAGUGCACAGCAAUGAUGUGCAGAGCAUAGCAACCACCCUGGGAGGGCCUAUGGGCCAUAACAACCAGUUGACCAAUCAACACAGGGCAAGCCCUCCAAGCCUGGAGGCACACCAAUCCUGAGCCUUUGCGUACCCCUAGACACUCCCCUUACGCUGCCCUACAAGAUCUCUCUGCAGCCGGUUUGAGCUGUCUUUGCUAGCCAUCCGCCUUGGUGGGUGGGUGAAAGACCCGAGCUAACAUGGGGUUAGCUCGUUAAACAACAAUAAAGCCUCAUGCAGUUUGCAGCAAGUUUUUGAAUCUGCCUGGUGAUUGGGGUGACUGAGGUCCUGGGCUGGGACCCUGGAGGCCUGAGUUUUCCUGGGGUCUAACAUUAUGAAUACCCAGCCUUAGCUUGACUUAUUUAUAGCUACCUUUGCUUGAUUUUAAAUUAUCCCAUUUAUCUUUUACCUCUGGGAUUUUAUCUUUCUCUAUCCUAUAUACCUUUCUUUACUUCUUACUCCAAGGCUUAUUGGGUGGCUGGCCCCUGAUGUCCAUUCUCCUUUUCUUGCUCCUUCACAAAUUUCUCCUUUUUCUGUCUGCCUGCCAGUCCCACCUAGCCUUUUCCUGCCCAGCUGUUGGCCAUUCAGCUCUUUAUUAGACCAAUCAGGUGCUUUAGACAGGCAAAGCUACACAGCUUCACAGAGUUAAACAAAUGCAACACAUCUUUUCAUAAUUAAACAUGUCCCACAAAUACAACAAAUCUUAAAAUAAUAUUCCAGGACACCUGCGGGUUUGAAUAGUAGAGAUUGGCUCAGUGAUGGCUGUUGAUUCUUCUGCCACACUUACCAAAGUCUCAGCCAAAACAUCAAGGGGGAGAUUUAAUAUGAAGAGGUUAGGGAAGCUGGGGGCGGGGGGAGUGGAGACAAAAGCGAUUAGCUGUCUCCGUUAGGCUAUGUAGGGAGAGAAGAAGAAUUUCAUGGGUGAAAUAAACUUCAGUCUUCAAGGUUGCAAAAACUAGAGGAAAAUUGAGCAGGAGGAAAAUUACAAGGACAAAAAGGUUGCGAUGUAUUGCACACCAUGUAUAUUAGCCCUGUGUUGGGGAGCCAUUUGUCACAGCCUGAUGUCUUUGGGGCUGCGAUUGGAACAGCCCCGGGUCCAUUUCUGAGUGGGGGAAUGUGGAUGAGGAAAGGCUAGCUAUCCAACUGCCAUUAUAGAAAAGAUAGAGACAUCUGAUCAUAACAGGAGGGCAGGGGCAGUCAAUGAAUGCACAGUUUGUUGUUGCAUCAUCUUAAGUAACCAUCCAAAGGUGGUGGCUAGGGCAGAAGACAUCUAUCUAUUAUGUAUAAAGGGCUGAUAACUGUUAUUUCCCUUAAUCCUAAAGACACUCCUUUGCACAUACUAAGGCCUUCAGGCACUUCACCCCAGCAGGUAUAACUAGCCUUCAGGGUGGGUGUAAACUCACCCUGGCCCAAGUCUAUUGUUAUUUAGAUAGGAGCCAUGCUCCCCCGAGGCCAGGACAUCCUGUAGCUAUUAGCCUACAUCUUAAAGACAAUUAGAAAUUGAGGCUCUCCUGAACUGGUGGUGGUGUGGAAUAGAUUUCCAAAUAUACGGGCUGAACAGAGAUGUAGUGAAGUAUAUAAAAACAGUUGCUUUCAGUGGGAUAAUGUUUUCCCUCUAUUCCUAAUGGUUCAUCCCAUUCAGAGAAAAUGUCAUUGUCUCCUUAUUGGCUGACUUGCUUUGUCUUGGGGCAGUAUUGUUAACUGUUUUAAGUUUGAAAACAUAGGCUGUUUUAGAACAUAUAAUCUCCCUAUACUCCCACCUCACUCUACUUGGAUAUGUGUUUAUGUAAAUGUACACAUCUGGGCAUGUGUGUAGAGGCUGGCAGUAGAGGUCUUCAAUCACUCACAACCUCAUAGUUUGAGAUAGAGUGUCUCACUAACCUGGGGUCUUCCUAUCUCUGCCUCCCCAGUACUUGGGCUGUAGUGAAAGACUUAAAAAUUAGCAAAGAAACUGACCAAGGCCAUUACUAUGACUUAGUGCCUAGAAUUUACCAGCUGCCAACAAUUACUCCCUUACAAGGCCGUAAGAUAACUAGGUACCAAGAAUUCCCAGGUGGCCACCCUCCCCCAAGGGGCUCAUAAAGGAAACAGAUUGCCCCACCGGCCAGUCAACAAUUAACAAUUAAGGGUCCCUAUGAAACAAAGAGAUAGCUACCAUUUGCUCAGGCAAGAUUAGUUAGCACGUCCUGAGGUCUUCGGGUUUUACAACUGGUGGGUCAAGAGGCCAUCUGAUUCCCAGCCCUCCCCUCAAGACAAAGGAAUCCAUGACUCUGGUCACAUACUCAAGGGACAGAGAGUCGUGGCCCCUCCCUAAGCUUAUGGUUUUUGCCUUUAAAAAUGCCUGUGCCUGGGGGACGAGGCUGCUCUCUAGCCUGCAUGCUGAGGAGGCCUGUUUGUACAAACGUUCACUUUUCAUUAAAGCCUCUUGUUGUUUGCAUCAAGUUUCUGCCUCUGCCUGGUGAUUGGGGUGGCUGAGGUCCUGGGAAAAGAUCCUGGGGGCCUGAGCUUCUGGGGGGUCGGUCUUUCAAUAGGAACAGAAUUCUGACUUUUGGGGAAUCCCAACUCAGGUCCAUAUGCUUGGACAGUGCAGCAGUCAUUUUACUGAAUGAACCAUCUUCUCUUGAGAUGGUUCUCAUGCUAUUUUCCCUAAACUGGCCUUAAUUCCUGGACUCAAACUUCAGCAUCCCAAGGAGCUAGUACUACAGGCACAUGUAGACAUAAUAAACCG
rnacentral:lncRNA from 1 species